CACACACAGGAGCACCCACGCAGCACAUGCUCAUGUUCUUGUGCACGUGGUAACACACUCACACACAGACGGAGCUCACCUGCGUGCACACUCACGCGUGCACACAGGUAUGGGGUACAGCUGGCUCCCUCUCUCAGCCACCAGCCCUCACUCAAACCCGAGUCUGCAAGGCCCUGGGCCCCGGGCAAGGAGUGGGCAGGGUCAGGGCUGGGGGAACCUGCAGCUGUGUGAUGCCUGCGGGGAGGCAGGGAGACGCUCUCCAGGAGGACAGGGCACCUGCCCGGAGGGCCCCUGCAUGGGCAGAGCCAGGACGGCUUCCUGCACAGGGUAGCCAAAUCCCCUGUCCCGGGACCUCCCGCUGUCUGGGGUCCUGGCUCUUGGCUCACCCUGGGCUCUUGACUCAGCCCAUGUGUCACCGGAUAAACAUUUAUUGGAUAUUUCCUGCCCGGCCCCAGUCCUGAGUGCCUGUCUCUACCAUCAGAAUGGGGGCCGAGGGAGGGGGUGAGUGUGCAGGCCAGGCGUGUGGGAAAGUGUGGUGAUGUGAACGUGCACCUGUGCGGGGAGCCGGCCCUUCAGCCCUGGAGGGAGCGCUGCCCUGCGCUGGCCCCACUUCCCGCCCACGGGGGGUGUGGCGGGGCGGGCCGGGGGGCUCACAGUCAACCCCGUUCCCUGGCCCUGAGCUGUCUAGAGGUCUUGGGCCCUCAGGGAGUGACCGCUGUGUGUGACAGGUGGAUAGGCCCCUCAGAAGGGCAGGGCCGGGUGCAGGGUCCUGCAGCAUGGUGCCGUUUGGUAGCCACCAGAGUGUAUGCAUCUGUUGGCGGGGGCAGGACCCACAGUGACAGGUCCCUGCAUCCACCCCACCCCCUGAGGAACACCUCAUGGAGGUGUGAGAGUUGGGAGGCCCCGGGGUUCUGGGGCAGCUUUUUCAAAAAUUGUUCUAUUUGGGGGCUGCUCCCCAGCUGCGGGGCGCGGGCUUCUCAUCGCGGGGGCUCCUCUGGGGGUGCACAGGCUCGGGCAGGCGGGCUUCAGUGGUUGCAGCACACAGGUUCGACAGCUGCAGCUCGCAGGCUCAGCAGCUGUGGCGUAGGGGCCUUCCAGAUGGCUCAGUGGUACAGACUCCGCCUGUCAAAGCAGGAGGUGCAAGAGACGCAGUUUCCACCCCUGGGUAGGGAAGAUCCCCUGGAGAAGGACAUGGCAACCCACUCCAGUACUCUCGCCUAGAGAAUCCCAUGGUCAGAGGAGCCUGGCAGGUUACCGUCCAGAGGGUUGCAAAGAAUCGGACACGACUGAAGCAAUUCAGCACGCUUGCAUGGACUUGGUUGCCCUGUGGCAUGUGGGAUCUUCCCAGACCAGGGAUCAAACCCGUGUCUCCUAUAGGGGCAAGUGGGUUCUUUACCACUAAGCCACAGGGGAGUCCUGGGACAGCUUCUUGGAGCGGGUGAGGCCAAUAAGGGAGGGGACCGACCCACUGCAGACCGCCUGGGACGCAGGGCUCGAGGGGGCGUCCCCAGGCCUGGCGGAGCUGGCCCAUGGGGUCUGCCGGCACCCGCAGUGGGGCCUGGGCUGGCCCACUCCCAGCACAGACAGACCUGGGUGACCGUGGAUCCCUGCAGGGGGAGUGAGUGCAGGCAGACAAGCCAACUGGAGACCCAGCCUACCCCUUCCCUUCUGGGUGCUGGCGGGAGUCCAGCUUGGGGAAGGGGAGCGGGGAGCAGGUAGAGCCCCGGGCACAAGCGCGCGGGGGUGCCUGGCCCGGGUGCAGCCCAUCGUGGUGGAGCCAUGCUACAUCGCUACCGAAACCACGUCCAGAAAAAUGCUCGAACGUCUGGAAACGUUCUGGGUUGCUUUCAAGAGGAAAAGGGUGGACAGGACUCUAGGAAUCUUUCAGUGGAGGAGGGGACCAAGCCCAGGGCGGCAGGCAUGGGCCCUCAGUGAGCCUGCUGGUCAAGGCCUGGCUGUGGUGGGGCAGGAGGCUGGGCACGUCUCAGGCACCCAGGCCCUCUCUUCCUAAGCGGGUCAGACACAUUUUACAAUUAAGUUCAAAAGGUGGACAAGUGCCGCCCCUGNNNNNNNNNNNNNNNNNNNNNNNNNNNNNNNNNNNNNNNNNNNNNNNCCCCCAAUCUCACCCCUCCUCCCCACACCCCAUCCCCUCUGCCGCAGGGCCACCGUCACCUGCACCAAGCUGCCCAGCUGCCCCCACGCUGUGAGCAACCCCUGAGGCCAGGGCGGGCAGCAGCCCCGUUGUGGUCCCAGACAGCCCACCCCAGGCUUCUGGAGCCCAUCUGCCUGCUGAGGAGCAAGGCAGAGACCUGGCCGACCCAGAACCAGUCUUCUCAGGACAACCAGGAAAAUCAGCAGCGCCCCACACCCUCCAGUUGCAUCCGAAGCGCUGGGGCCCCAGGACCAGGAGUCUCUGUCUGGCUGCACCUUAGAAUCAGGGCAGGGGAGCUUUAAACAGCAUCCCCCACAGCAAGUCAAAUCAUGCCAGACUCCCUGGAGGAAGGGGCUGGGGUGAGUUUCUUUGGGAGGCAGGAAUGGACUCCCCAGCAGACCUCCCCUGCCCAUCCUGGCAAUGAUAUCCCUGCAUCUCUGGGGAGCAGAAGAGGGGAAACUGACCAGCUCAGCCUGGGGUUCGGGGGCUCAGGGCCUUCUCCCCUUUAGGCCCAGCAAGCUGGACCCCAGAGAAGAGAGUGGCUACAAGACACUGACCCCUCUGCGAGCCAGGCCUACAGCCUCACCCCCACCAGUCCCAGGUUUCCCAGGUGGCCUGGGGGGCUGUGCAGGGACCGCCCAGCAAACCUGGCCCUAGUGCCCACUACAAACAGGCAGGAAGCCCCAAACCUUGUUUCAUUGCUGUGCCCCCCGGAUCAGUGCUGGCCACCCCAGGCCCCACUCUCCCACUGGGCUCUGGAAAGGACCCGCACCCCAAAUUCCCCUCCUCUCCCCAACACCCCCCAACCAGGGCUGCCCCUAGGCUGCCCAUCCUGUAAGAGGAGGUCACCAGGGUCUGGGCCGUCAGGACCCCCAGUCCUCCCCACCUCAAACCCCUUGGCCUGGGAAGGUUGUUAAAGAGAGAUAAGAAGGGGCCUAAUUUGUGAUUGGAAAAGCUUGGUGCCCACUUGCCAGGGCUUGGCCCACCUCCUUCCCAGGUCUGGAGGGGAGGGAAGCCCCGCCCAGCCCUUGACCUUGGCCUCACACAAGCCCCUCCCCAGUCCCAGGCACUUCUGGUUUUGCCGGGGUCUCCUGGGGGCCCCAGUCACCCAUGGGAUACCCCAGGAAGCAGGUGGCUGGCAUGGGGGUUAGAAGCUUCGGAGGCCCCCUUAUCUGUAUCNNNNNNNNNNNNNNNNNNNNNNNNNNNNNNNNNNNNNNNNNNNNNNNNNNNNNNNNNNNNNNNNNNNNNNNNNNNNNNNNNNNNNNNNNNNNNNNNNNNUGGCAUGGGGGUUAGAAGCUUCGGAGGCCCCCUUAUCUGUAUCACUGGCUAAUGAGAGUACCCAGCCCCUGGGCAAAGGCCCAGUGUAGGCCUGGCAGGGCUGGCAGACUCAGGUGAGACUCCCCCGGUCCCAAGUCCCUCCUCCAAGACUGCUUCCUCGGUGGAAGGCUGAGGACUUGCUCCCAAGCCAGGGCUGGAUGGCCCUUUGCUUUUGAUCUGGGGCCUGUUUGCAGAGACGCUGGGUUCCAAGAGGAAGGCACGCAGGUAGGGGCCCCAGAGGGGUGCCGGCCCUGAAGCCCUCCUCUGUCCAUCCCUGGGAGAGGAGAGGCUGCGGUGUGCAGAGCCCUGAGACUGCGGUCUGGUUGUUGAGGGGUGGGCAGGGGAGGGACUUCGCAGCCCACCCCUCUUCCUGCUACGGAAAAUCUGCUCCUCCAGGCCUCCUGGCUGCUGUUAUAUAAACAUCUCUGCUGCCUCCAGGCGCCUCCUCUCCCGGGCACUGACCCCGAGAGAAGUUACCCCAGGCUCUGAGAAGUGCCAUGCCGUCAGCCUCCUGGAGGAGGCAGGCCAGGGAGGCUCCAGAAGCAGCUGGACAAGCUGUUCCUCCUGGUGCUCACAACUGCAUCCCAGCUGCCCCCAGGUGCCCUGCAACAGGUGUACCAAGGAGGUUGGGCUGGUGCAACCUGCCCAUCAGCAGGCAAACCCCACUCUGCCCACCUCUCUGGGCCUCCCUGGCAAGGGCGGCUUCUCAGCCAGCCUCUGGGAUUUCUACAGUCCUGAGGGUUCUCCUGACAGGGAACCGCACGCUGGCUUACUGCCCUGUGUUGAGAGGGGGUGCUGUUCUGUACCCAGUGCGAGGCUGUAAACCAGCUUAGCAGGGACAAUGGCAGGCAUUUUGGACGCCCAGCACUUAACCUGGGCUGGCACAGGAUGCCCAAAUCUGGCGUUAUGGUGCAGAAAUAAGUCACCCGGAAGGAGCACGGGGGAGGGUCCAGGGCUGCCGGACCCACAGCGUGCUUCGCGGGCCACCUUAGGCUGGAGGCGCGGAAGAAGGGGUAGGACGGUGACCAAGGAGCGUCCGGAGGCGGUCCCUCCUGGGGGAGCUGGUGCUUAAUCUUUCUGGCCGGGCGCUGGCCCCAGGCUAUUUCCUUGGGGGUACCCAGGGUCCCUUUGGUAGAGGCUGCAGCCGCGGCACCACCAUCUUUCAGGGUCAAAUGGCCCAGUCUUCACAGCCACGGAGGUGGGGGCAGGUCUAGGCUGGAACUUUCAGAGGUUUUAAGUUGCUACCAGGGGGGCUCCUAGGAUUAGGGCCCCAGGCCAGGGGUAACGCAGGGCUGCCGAUGGAGCGACUUCUCCCAGAGCCUCUGCCCCAGGGACCCCCACACUCGCCUGCCCAGCCCAGCUCCUCUCGGGGACAGGCCUGUCAAAGGCGCCCCUUUCCUCGCUCCGCCUGCGCCUCCUCCGCUAUUGAGAUGUAAAUCUUUGCCAAUUGUCGCCGAGCGCGGCGGGAGCCCACAGCCGGAUCCUUCCGCAACCCCGGAGCAAACUUUGGGUCUCCGAAAACUUUCGAACGAGAAGUAGUCCCUUAGGGCAUGGGCCCCGACCCCGCUCCGCACGGCCGCGACCCCCACCCCCGUAGGACCCGGGCUCGGGACCCCGCGCCCCAGCCUGAGGAGGCGCGCGGCUGGUCGAGGAGAGCAGAGGG
ensembl:lncRNA